rnacentral:rRNA from 1 species
AGGGCGGGACACGUGGUAUCCUGUCUGAAUAUGGGGGGACCAUCCUCCAAGGCUAAAUACUCCUGACUGACCGAUAGUGAACCAGUACCGUGAGGGAAAGGCGAAAAGAACCCCGGCGAGGGGAGUGAAAAAGAACCUGAAACCGUGUACGUACAAGCAGUGGGAGCACAGAGCAAUCUGUGUGACUGCGUACCUUUUGUAUAAUGGGUCAGCGACUUAUAUUCUGUAGCAAGGUUAACCGAAUAGGGGAGCCGAAGGGAAACCGAGUCUUAACUGGGCGUUAAGUUGCAGGGUAUAGACCCGAAACCCGGUGAUCUAGCCAUGGGCAGGUUGAAGGUUGGGUAACACUAACUGGAGGACCGAACCGACUAAUGUUGAAAAAUUAGCGGAUGACUUGUGGCUGGGGGUGAAAGGCCAAUCAAACCGGGAGAUAGCUGGUUCUCCCCGAAAGCUAUUUAGGUAGCGCCUCGUGAAUUCAUCUCCGGGGGUAGAGCACUGUUUCGGCAAGGGGGUCAUCCCGACUUACCAACCCGAUGCAAACUGCGAAUACCGGAGAAUGUUAUCACGGGAGACACACGGCGGGUGCUAACGUCCGUCGUGAAGAGGGAAACAACCCAGACCGCCAGCUAAGGUCCCAAAGUCAUGGUUAAGUGGGAAACGAUGUGGGAAGGCCCAGACAGCCAGGAUGUUGGCUUAGAAGCAGCCAUCAUUUAAAGAAAGCGUAAUAGCUCACUGGUCGAGUCGGCCUGCGCGGAAGAUGUAACGGGGCUAAACCAUGCACCGAAGCUGCGGCAGCGACGCUUAUGCGUUGUUGGGUAGGGGAGCGUUCUGUAAGCCUGUGAAGGUGUGCUGUGAGGCAUGCUGGAGGUAUCAGAAGUGCGAAUGCUGACAUAAGUAACGAUAAAGCGGGUGAAAAGCCCGCUCGCCGGAAGACCAAGGGUUCCUGUCCAACGUUAAUCGGGGCAGGGUGAGUCGACCCCUAAGGCGAGGCCGAAAGGCGUAGUCGAUGGGAAACAGGUUAAUAUUCCUGUACUUGGUGUUACUGCGAAGGGGGGACGGAGAAGGCUAUGUUGGCCGGGCGACGGUUGUCCCGGUUUAAGCGUGUAGGCUGGUUUUCCAGGCAAAUCCGGAAAAUCAAGGCUGAGGCGUGAUGACGAGGCACUACGGUGCUGAAGCAACAAAUGCCCUGCUUCCAGGAAAAGCCUCUAAGCAUCAGGUAACAUCAAAUCGUACCCCAAACCGACACAGGUGGUCAGGUAGAGAAUACCAAGGCGCUUGAGAGAACUCGGGUGAAGGAACUAGGCAAAAUGGUGCCGUAACUUCGGGAGAAGGCACGCUGAUAUGUAGGUGAAGUCCCUCGCGGAUGGAGCUGAAAUCAGUCGAAGAUACCAGCUGGCUGCAACUGUUUAUUAAAAACACAGCACUGUGCAAACACGAAAGUGGACGUAUACGGUGUGACGCCUGCCCGGUGCCGGAAGGUUAAUUGAUGGGGUUAGCGCAAGCGAAGCUCUUGAUCGAAGCCCCGGUAAACGGCGGCCGUAACUAUAACGGUCCUAAGGUAGCGAAAUUCCUUGUCGGGUAAGUUCCGACCUGCACGAAUGGCGUAAUGAUGGCCAGGCUGUCUCCACCCGAGACUCAGUGAAAUUGAACUCGCUGUGAAGAUGCAGUGUACCCGCGGCAAGACGGAAAGACCCCGUGAACCUUUACUAUAGCUUGACACUGAACAUUGAGCCUUGAUGUGUAGGAUAGGUGGGAGGCUUUGAAGUGUGGACGCCAGUCUGCAUGGAGCCGACCUUGAAAUACCACCCUUUAAUGUUUGAUGUUCUAACGUUGACCCGUAAUCCGGGUUGCGGACAGUGUCUGGUGGGUAGUUUGACUGGGGCGGUCUCCUCCUAAAGAGUAACGGAGGAGCACGAAGGUUGGCUAAUCCUGGUCGGACAUCAGGAGGUUAGUGCAAUGGCAUAAGCCAGCUUGACUGCGAGCGUGACGGCGCGAGCAGGUGCGAAAGCAGGUCAUAGUGAUCCGGUGGUUCUGAAUGGAAGGGCCAUCGCUCAACGGAUAAAAGGUACUCCGGGGAUAACAGGCUGAUACCGCCCAAGAGUUCAUAUCGACGGCGGUGUUUGGCACCUCGAUGUCGGCUCAUCACAUCCUGGGGCUGAAGUAGGUCCCAAGGGUAUGGCUGUUCGCCAUUUAAAGUGGUACGCGAGCUGGGUUUAGAACGUCGUGAGACAGUUCGGUCCCUAUCUGCCGUGGGCGCUGGAGAACUGAGGGGGGCUGCUCCUAGUACGAGAGGACCGGAGUGGACGCAUCACUGGUGUUCGGGUUGUCAUGCCAAUGGCACUGCCCGGUAGCUAAAUGCGGAAGAGAUAAGUGCUGAAAGCAUCUAAGCACGAAACUUGCCCCGAGAUGAGUUCUCCCUGACUCCUUGAGAGUCCUGAAGGAACGUUGAAGACGACGACGUUGAUAGGCCGGGUGUGUAAGCGCAGCGAUGCGUUGAGCUAACCGGUACUAAUGAACCGUGAGGCUUAACCUUACAACGCCGAAGCUGUU